rnacentral:lncRNA from 1 species
GUCAAACGCAGCCUGAAGAAAGGCACGGCUGUGUGCCAGUGCCGAUGCCAAUGGGAUGCUCUGUAGAGACAAGAGAUGGAAAAGAAGAGAGGGGUUUAUAUGCCCUGCAAGAGAGAUGGAUCUCAGCCCAGGGGCACUGAGAAUGCUGGCUACAUGCCAUCCUCUGCCUCUGCGUGUGCCCUCCAGCGAUCAGCCCUGCACAGGUCUUGGGGCUCAGACGUUAUCUACAGCCAUAGAAGUCCUGCCCAGCACAAUACCUACAUCAUCAUCGGGGGCAGAGCCAACCGGGGCAGUAGCUGUCUGAAGACGACGGCUCAGGGACGGAUGAUAUUUUUGCUCCAAAGACCCCCAGGCCUAAGAGAUCUGGGAAGGAAGAACUCCUGCCCUCCUACCCCCAGUAAAGGAUUUGAGGUGGGGCAGACUAUGGAAGGAAGGACAAGGGUAACAGUAACAACGGCCCAUGGUUAUUUAGGCCAGCUACAUGCAGAACCAGACUCUGCAGUCCUUAGUGAGGCUGGGUACCGCCUCACUCUGCACAUUGCUCCCCAGAGAGUAAGGUACCACCUAGUAAGUCAGGGUGGCUUUAGGGAGGCUGAACAAAACGUCCCCUUGGAGACAAUCAGAACGACAUAGAAUCAUAGAAUCUCAGGGUUGGAAGGGACCUCAAGAGGUCAUCUAGUCCAACCCCCUGCUCAAAGCAGGACCAAUUCCCAACUGACCAACAGCAUCAAACCCUGACGCCUCCGUGCCCUGCAGCUAAACCUGUUGCUUUCCACCGAGCUGUUUUUGAGGCCCUGCCAUAAAGAAUCUGGAGGAGGAAGAAAAAUGCAAGAGCAAACAGGAAUGAAAUAUUCCUCUCUCCGGUGGGUUUGUAGCCCGGGUGAAAUA